ACCACGCUUCAGAUGCGUCCCUGCCUUGCAAUGGUGCAGCUGGACAAAGUUUAGACCUACACCAAGCACAAAUGAAUCCUUUGCCCAAUGUAGAUGGUCCUUUGCCCAAUGUCAGUGCUGGGAACAAUGUUUCACGGGGUCGGAGUGUUCAUCGGGAAGUUAGCAGGCAUGCCAGGGUGUUAGUGGUGUGGCGAACGAGGCUGGAGGUAAUGUCCAUGUAGCGCUAGCUUCUGUCUUCUGACCGUGUGCUUCUCCGCAAUCACGGCGACAGUAACGUGGUGCAGCCUUUGUCUAAUGCCACUGGGUAUGUUAGACGAGGUCG